AAAGUGUUCGUCAAGCCAACUGAACAUCGAGCUUGUAGAGAAGCGGACGAUUCUGGGAGCAAUCCUGGGGUUGAAGCUCCGUGGAUCGAACCUGUGAGCCGCAGCGCAAGCAAACCUAGAAGAGCCUCGUUACGCUUAGUGAGGUCGGCCAAUCUCUCGGAGGAGCCGAAGCCUAGCAUUCACCGUGAAGGGAUGUUCACGAGCAACGGUGAAGACCUCCGGGGUCGCAGGGGG
rfam:Chthoniobacter flavus Ellin428 ctg77, whole genome shotgun sequence.